GACGAACGCUGGCGGCGUGCUUAACGCAUGCAAGUCGAACGGAAAGGCCCUGCUUUUGUGGGGUGCUCGAGUGGCGAACGGGUGAGUAACACGUGAGUAACCUGCCCUUGACUUUGGGAUAACUUCAGGAAACUGGGGCUAAUACCGGAUAGGAGCUCCUGCUGCAUGGUGGGGGUUGGAAAGUUUCGGCGGUUGGGGAUGGACUCGCGGCUUAUCAGCUUGUUGGUGGGGUAGUGGCUUACCAAGGCUUUGACGGGUAGCCGGCCUGAGAGGGUGACCGGCCACAUUGGGACUGAGAUACGGCCCAGACUCCUACGGGAGGCAGCAGUGGGGAAUAUUGCAAAUGGGCGGAAGCCUGAUGCAGCAACGCCGCGUGCGGGAUGACGGCCUUCGGGUUGUAAACCGCUUUCGCCUGUGACGAAGCGUGAGUGACGGUAAUGGGUAAAGAAGCACCGGCUAACUACGUG
rnacentral:rRNA from 1 species